rnacentral:rRNA from 1 species
GACGAACGCUGGCGGCGUGCCUAAUACAUGCAAGUAGAACGCUGAAGGAGGAGCUUGCUUCUCUGGAUGAGUUGCGAACGGGUGAGUAACGCGUAGGUAACCUGCCUGGUAGCGGGGGAUAACUAUUGGAAACGAUAGCUAAUACCGCAUAAGAGUAGAUGUUGCAUGAAAUUUUCUUAAAAGGUGCAAUUGCAUCACUACCAGAUGGACCUGCGUUGUAUUAGCUAGUUGGUGGGGUAACGGCUCACCAAGGCGACGAUACAUAGCCGACCUGAGAGGGUGAUCGGCCACACUGGGACGGAGACACGGCCCAGACUCCUACGGGAGGCAGCAGUAGGGAAUCUUCGGAAAUGGACGGAAGUCUGACCGAGCAACGCCGCGUGAGUGAAGAAGGUUUUCGGAUCGUAAAGCUCUGUUGUAAGAGAAGAACGAGUGUGAGAGUGGAAAGUUCACACUGUGACGGUAUCUUACCAGAAAGGGACGGCUAACUACGUG